GACGAACGCUGGCGGCGUGCUUAACACAUGCAAGUCGAACGGAAAGGCCCUGCUUUUGUGGGGUGCUCGAGUGGCGAACGGGUGAGUAACACGUGAGUAACCUGCCCUUGACUUUGGGAUAACUUCAGGAAACUGGGGCUAAUACCGGAUAGGAGCUCCUGCUGCAUGGGGGGGGUUGGAAAGUUUCGGCGGUUGGGGAUGGACUCGCGGCUUAUCAGCUUGUUGGUGGGGUAGUGGCUUACCAAGGCUUUGACGGGUAGCCGGCCUGAGAGGGUGACCGGCCACAUUGGGACUGCGAUACGGCCCAGACUCCUACGGGACGCAGCAGUGGGGAAUAUUGCACAAUGGGCGGAAGCCUGAUGCAGCAACGCCGCGUGCGGGAUGACGGCCUUCGGGUUGUAAACCGCUUUCGCCUGUGACGAAGCGUGAGUGACGGUAAUGGGUAAAGAAGCACCGGCUAACUACGUG
rnacentral:rRNA from 1 species